rnacentral:rRNA from 1 species
UACGGGGGGGGCAAGCGUUGUUCGGAAUUACUGGGCGUAAAGCGCACGUAGGCGGCUUUGUAAGUUAGAGGUGAAAGCCCGGGGCUCAACUCCGGAAUUGCCUUUAAGACUGCAUAGCUCGAAUUGUGGAGAGGUAAGUGGAAUUCCGAGUGUAGAGGUGAAAUUCGUAGAUAUUCGGAAGAACACCAGUGGCGAAGGCGACUUACUGGACACAUAUUGACGCUGAGGUGCGAAAGCGUGGGGAGCAAACAGG